rnacentral:rRNA from 1 species
UGGGGAAUAUUGCACAAUGGGCGCAAGCCUGAUGCAGCCAUGCCGCGUGUAUGAAGAAGGCCUUCGGGUUGUAAAGUACUUUCAGCGGGGAGGAAGGGAGUAAAGUUAAUACCUUUGCUCAUUGACGUUACCCGCAGAAGAAGCACCGGCUAACUCCGUGCCAGCAGCCGCGGUAAUACGGAGGGUGCAAGCGUUAAUCGGAAUUACUGGGCGUAAAGCGCACGCAGGCGGUUUGUUAAGUCAGAUGUGAAAUCCCCGGGCUCAACCUGGGAACUGCAUCUGAUACUGGCAAGCUUGAGUCUCGUAGAGGGGGGUAGAACUCCAGGUGUAGCGGGGAAAUGCGUAGAGAUCUGGAGGAAUACCGGUGGCGAAGGCGGCCCCCUGGACGAAGACUGACGCUCAGGUGCGAAAGCGUGGGGAGCAAACAGG